rnacentral:misc_RNA from 1 species
UUGCACCACGUUGUUGUAAUUUGUCAGGAUGAACACAAAGAGUGGCUUUUCUGUAAGCUUUCUUCACCGCAGCUGCAGUUAUAACUUCUGUCAGUGGAAUUGACUGCCAACCCCCAAGUAUAUAUUGCAAGGUUGAAAGCAAUGCACGCAAGUUUCCUUCUUUCCCGCUCGACCACCUCUUGACAUCAGCAUCCAGAGUUUCUGCUAAUCUAUUUCUCUCUGCUUGUUCUUUUUGAACAGAAAGAUCGCGCAUGUUUUUCUCUGCCAGGGCUUUUGCCGCACGUUCAGCUGUUCUUCGAUGUCUCUCUAGUCUAGCUUUAUACCUCUGAGCUGACUCACCUUCAACUCCUUCAAAUCUUUCAUUACAAAUUGAGGAAUGUUGAUAUCUUGAACCACUAAAUGAGCAUGAGCCUUGGGAUUGAAGAUCUUGUAGAUCAGAGGAUGAAGAGCUUGCUCUCAUUCCACUAGUCCUGGAAGAAGCAGAUAAUUUAUCU